GACGAACGCUGGCGGCGUGCUUAACACAUGCAAGUCGAACGGAAAGGCCCUGCUUUUGUGGGGUGCUCGAGUGGCGAACGGGUGAGUAACACGUGAGUAACCUGCCCUUGACUUUGGGAUAACUUCUGGAAACUGGGGCUAAUACCGGAUAGGAGCUCCUGCUGCAUGGUGGGGGUUGGAAAGUUUCGGCGGUUGGGGAUGGACUCGCGGCUUAUCAGCUUGUUGGUGGGGUAGUGGCUUACCAAGGCUUUGACGGGUAGCCGGCCUGAGAGGGUGACCGGCCACAUUGGGACUGAGAUACGGCCCAGACUCCUACGGGAGGCAGCAGUGGGGAAUAUUGCACAAUGGGCGGAAGCCUGAUGCAGCAACGCCGCGUGCGGGGUGACGGCCUUCGGGUUGUAAACCGCUUUCGCCUGUGACGAAGCGUGAGUGACGGUAAUGGGUAAAGAAGCACCGGCUAACUACGUGCCAGCAGCCGCGGUGAUACGUAGGGUGCGAGCGUUGUCCGGAUUUAUUGGGCGUAAAGGGCUCGUAGGUGGUUGAUCGCGUCGGAAGUGUAAUCUUGGGGCUUAACCCUGAGCGUGCUUUCGAUACGGGUUGACUUGAGGAAGGUAGGGGAGAAUGGAAUUCCUGGUGGAGCGGUGGAAUGCGCAGAUAUCAGGAGUAACACCAGUGGCGAAGGCGGUUCUCUGGGCCUUUCCUGACGCUGAGGAGCGAAAGCGUGGGGAGCGAACAGGCUUAGAUACCCUGGUAGUCCACGCUGUAAACGGUGGGUACUAGGUGUGGGGUCCAUUCCACGGGUUCCGUGCCGUAGCUAACGCUUUAAGUACCCCGCCUGGGGAGUACGGCCGCAAGGCUAAAACUCAAAGGAAUUGACGGGGCCCCGCACAAGCGGCGGAGCAUGCGGAUUAAUUCGAUGCAACGCGUAGAACCUUACCUGGGUUUGACAUGGAUCGGGAGUGCUCAGAGAUGGGUGUGCCUCUUUUGGGGUCGGUUCACAGGUGGUGCAUGGCUGUCGUCAGCUCGUGUCGUGAGAUGUUGGGUUAAGUCCCGCAACGAGCGCAACCCUUGUUCACUGUUGCCAGCACGUUAUGGUGGGGACUCAGUGGAGACCGCCGGGGUCAACUCGGAGGAAGGUGGGGAUGACGUCAAGUCAUCAUGCCCCUUAUGUCCAGGGCUUCACGCAUGCUACAAUGGCUGGUACAGAGAGUGGCGAGCCUGUGAGGGUGAGCGAAUCUCGGAAAGCCGGUCUCAGUUCGGAUUGGGGUCUGCAACUCGACCUCAUGAAGUCGGAGUCGCUAGUAAUCGCAGAUCAGCAACGCUGCGGUGAAUACGUUCCCGGGGCU
rnacentral:rRNA from 1 species